rnacentral:rRNA from 2 species
GGUCAAGUGACUAAGCGUGCACGGUGGAUGCCUUGGCAGUCAGAGGCGAUGAAGGACGUGGUAAUCUGCGAUAAGCGUUGGUAAGCCGAUAAACAGGCAUUGACCCAGCGAUUUCCGAAUGGGGAAACCCACUCACAUAAGUGAGUAUUCCGGAACUGAAUACAUAGGUUCCGGGAGGCGAACCCGGGGAACUGAAACAUCUAAGUACCCGGAGGAAAAGAAAUCAAUUGAGAUUCCCCUAGUAGCGGCGAGCGAACGGGGAUUAGCCCUUAAGCUUAUGAUGGUUUAGCGGAACGCUCUGGAAAGUGCGGCAACAAAGGGUGAAAGCCCCGUACGCGAAAGGCCAUUGUAAGUGAAAUCGAGUAGGUCGGGACACGAGAAAUCUUGACUGAACCGUCUUCGGACAAGGGGGGACCAUCCUCCAAGGCUAAAUACUCCUGACUGACCGAUAGUGAACCAGUACCGUGAGGGAAAGGCGAAAAGAACCCCGUUGAGGGGAGUGAAAUAGAUCCUGAAACCGUGUACGUACAAGCAGUGGGAGCCUGACCACUUAAUCAUUUUGAUAAGUGGUUUAUGUCGCUUAAUCCAGAGUGAUUAAGUGGUCAGGUGACUGCGUACCUUUUGUAUAAUGGGUCAGCGACUUACAUUCUGUGGCAAGGUUAACCGCAUAGGGUAGCCGUAGGGAAACCGAGUCUUAAUAGGGCGCCAUAGUCGCAGGGUGUAGACCCGAAACCGGGCGAUCUAGCCAUGAGCAGGUUGAAGAUCAGGUAACACUGAUUGGAGGACCGAACCCACCGUCGUUGAAAAGCCGGGGGAUGACUUGUGGCUAGGAGUGAAAGGCUAAUCAAGCCCGGAGAUAGCUGGUUCUCCUCGAAAGCUAUUUAGGUAGCGCCUCGUGUCUCACCAUUGGGGGUAGAGCACUGUUUGGGCUAGGGGGUCAUCCCGACUUACCAACCCCAUGCAAACUCCGAAUACCAAUGAGUGCAAUCACGGGAGACACACGGCGGGUGCUAACGUCCGUCGUGGAAAGGGAAACAACCCAGACCGUCAGCUAAGGUCCCCAAGUAAUAGUUAAGUGGGAAACGAUGUGAGAAGGCCCAGACAGCCAGGAGGUUGGCUUAGAAGCAGCCAUCCUUUAAAGAAAGCGUAAUAGCUCACUGGUCGAGUCGGCUCGCGCGGAAGAUGUAACGGGGCUCAAACUAUUCACCGAAGCUACGGGUACCUGACCACUCACGAGUGGUCAGGUGCGGUAGAGGAGCGUCCUGUAAGCCGUUGAAGGUCAAGCCGGGAGGCAGGCUGGAGGUAUCAGGAGUGCGAAUGCUGACAUGAGUAACGAUAAAGGGGGUGAGAGGCCCCCUCGCCGGAAGACCAAGGGUUCCUGCGCAACGCUAAUCGGCGCAGGGUGAGUCGGCCCCUAAGGUGAGGUCGAAAGACGUAAUCGAUGGGAAACGGAUUAAUAUUUCCGUACCCCUUUUGACUGCGAUGGAGUGACGGAGAAGGCUAGGCCAGCAAGGUGAUGGUUAUCCUUGUUUAAGGUCGUAGGCUGAGGGUUCAGGCAAAUCCGGACCCUCAAGGCCGAGAACCGAUGACGACUGAUCUUUAAGAUCGGGAAGUGGUCGAUGCCAGGCUUCCAGGAAAAACUUCUAAGCUUCAGGUCAAAAGGGACCGUACCCCAAACCGACACAGGUGGUCAGGUAGAGAAUACCAAGGCGCUUGAGAGAACUCGGGUGAAGGAACUAGGCAAAAUGGUACCGUAACUUCGGGAGAAGGUACGCCCCCGCCGGUGAUCGGACUUGCUCCGUAAGCUAGUGGGGGUCGCAGAGACCAGUUGGCUGCGACUGUUUAUUAAAAACACAGCACUGUGCAAACACGAAAGUGGACGUAUACGGUGUGACGCCUGCCCGGUGCCGGAAGGUUAAUUGAUGGGGUUACCUCACCACCAAAUUGCUCUUAUGUACUACAUAUAUGUGAUUCAAAGCUUACUAUGAAGCAUAUCAAGUCAAAGAGUUUGCGAGAGUUCGCGAAGCUAAACUAAAGCGCAACAAAAGAAUGCGUCAGAUGUUAAUGCAACGUGUGCGAGAGCAAUUUGGUGGUGAGGGAAGCUCUUGAUCGAAGCCCCGGUAAACGGCGGCCGUAACUAUAACGGUCCUAAGGUAGCGAAAUUCCUUGUCGGGUAAGUUCCGACC